GAUGAGCAUGCGUCCCAUUAGCUAGUUGGUAAGGUAACGGCUUACCAAGGCAACGAUGGGUAGGGGUCCUGAGAGGGAGAUCCCCCACACUGGUACUGAGACACGGACCAGACUCCUACGGGAGGCAGCAGUGAGGAAUAUUGGUCAAUGGGCGCAAGCCUGAACCAGCCAUGCCGCGUGCAGGAUGAAGCAUCUAUGGUGUGUAAACUGCUUUUGUACGAGAAGAAACACUACUUCGUGAAGUAGCUUGACGGUAUCGUAAGAAUAAGGACCGGCUAACUCCGUGCCAGCAGCCGCGGUAAUACGGAGGGUCCAAGCGUUAUCCGGAAUCAUUGGGUUUAAAGGGUCCGUAGGCGGUUUUGUAAGUCAGUGGUGAAAGCCCAUCGCUCAACGGUGGAACGGCCAUUGAUACUGCAAGACUUGAAUUAUUAGGAAGUAACUAGAAUAUGUAGUGUAGCGGUGAAAUGCUUAGAUAUUACAUGGAAUACCAAUUGCGAAGGCAGGUUACUACUAAUAUAUUGACGCUGAUGGACGAAAGCGUGGGGAGCGAACA
rnacentral:rRNA from 1 species